GUUGAUUGUUAUCCGAAUAUCUUCAUUGCUUAUCGCGUCUUAUUUACUGUGUCUGUGACGGUCGUAUUGACUGAAAGAAUUUUCUCAAAGCUGGAAUUGUUGAAGAAUUAUUUGAGGUCAACAAUGACAUGA
rnacentral:rRNA from 1 species